rnacentral:rRNA from 1 species
AACGAACGCUGGCGGCAUGCCUAACACAUGCAAGUCGAACGAAGCCUUCGGGCUUAGUGGCGCACGGGUGCGCAACGCGUGGGAAUCUGCCCUUGGGUUCGGAAUAACAGUUAGAAAUGACUGCUAAUACCGGAUGAUGUCUUCGGACCAAAGAUUUAUCGCCCAAGGAUGAGCCCGCGUAGGAUUAGGUAGUUGGUGGGGUAAUGGCCCACCAAGCCAACGAUCCUUAGCUGGUCUGAGAGGAUGAUCAGCCACACUGGGACUGAGACACGGCCCAGACUCCUCGGGGAGGCAGGAGGGGGGAAUAUUGGACAAGGGGCGAAAGCCUGACACACCAAUGCCGCGAGAGUGUGGAGGCCUUAGGUUUGUAAAGCUCUUUUACCAGGGAUAAUAAUGACAGUACCUGGAGAAUAGGCUCCGGCUAACCCCGUCCCAGCACCCGCGGUAA